rnacentral:rRNA from 1 species
UGGGGAAUAUUGGACAAUGGGCGAAAGCCUGAUCCAGCCAUGCCGCGUGUGUGAAGAAGGUCUUCGGAUUGUAAAGCACUUUAAGCUGGGAGGAAGGGCAGUAAGCGAAUACCUUGCUGUUUUGACGUUACCGACAGAAUAAGCACCGGCUAACUCUGUGCCAGCAGCCGCGGUAAUACAGAGGGUGCAAGCGUUAAUCGGAAUUACUGGGCGUAAAGCGCGCGUAGGUGGUUCGUUAAGUUGAAUGUGAAAGCCCCGGGCUCAACCUGGGAACUGCAUCGAAAACUGGCGAGCUAGAGGAGGGCAGAGGGUGGUGGAAUUUCCUGUGUAGCGGUGAAAUGCGUAGAUAUAGGGAGGAACACCAGUGGCGGAGGCGACCACCUGGGAUCAUACUGACACUGAGGUGCGAAAGCGUGGGGAGCAAACAGG